AGUCACUGACAUUAGAUACCCCUGUAGUCCAGGGUGUAAACGCUGCGGGCUUGGUGUUGGGGGUCCUUAGUGGGCGCCCAGUGCCGGAGAGAAGUUGUUAAGCCUGCUGCUUGGGGAGUAUGUCCGCAAGGAUGAAACUUAAAGGAAUUGGCGGGGGAGCACCGCAACGGGAGGAGCGUGCGGUUCAAUUGGAUUCAACGCCGAAAAACUCACCAGGAGCGACGGAUAUAUGAAGGUCAAGCUGAUGACUUUACCUGAUUUUCCG
rnacentral:rRNA from 1 species